GGAGCCAUUAUCAUGUCAUCUGGAUCGGAGGUGACAAUGUCUGCAUGGAGAGUCUGGGGCGUCUCCAGUGAGGGCCAGAUUUACCCCCAGGGCUCGUCACCCUCACCCACGCCUGGGGACUAGGGACAAGUCCUGGCAGUUACUGAGAAGGUCCACGCGAGCAGCUGAGCAGAGGGCAGGAGAGUUUUCUGUGUUCCCUGCGGGAGAGCCCAAGUUCACAGUGACAGCCAUAGCCGGGGGAGGGACAGUCACAGAGCACCCGGGCUCCCUUCACUGUCUCCCGGUGGGCAUUUUCCUUCAUGGCCUCACUCUUCCAAACUGUCCCAAAGUGUGUUCUCACCGAUCAUCAGCAUGGGAUCUGAAGGCUGGGCUUCCCUUGAGUUUAAGUUUCGCAACACUUUCUAUGUAUGAUCUCGGCCUGUUUAAUCUGGAAAAUAAUCUCUCUGAAGCUGCUGUUUCCUCCUCCCAGUCCUCAGGUCUCCCUCGUGUCCACAUGACUCUAUUAUAAUUUGUUCUAAGUCACCCAUGGAUCCCCCUCCGACCACCAGCCUGUCUCUAGGUUCUGAGCCAUUUGAGCUGGAUAGGAGAUAAAAUAGACUUUGUCAAGGGACAAAGAACACUACAAAAUGAACAAAGGACGAGCGAUCGAUUGAAGAAAAAGAUAUAACAUUUUAAAAUAUAUAUGCACCAACAUUUGUUGUGCAGUUGCUAAGUAGUGUUUGACUCUUUGUGACCCUAUGAACUACAGCACAUCAGGGUUUCCUUGUCCUUUGAUAUCUCCCAGAGUUUGCUCAAGUUCAUGUCCACUGAGCUGGUGAUGUCAUCCAACCAUCUCACCCUCUGUUGUCCCCUUCUCCUCCUGCCCUUCCAUUGAGUUGGCUCUUCCCAUCAGGAGGACAAAGUAUUGUACCUUCAGCUUCAGCAUCAGUCCUUCCGACGAAUAUUCAGGGUUGCUUUCCUUUAGGAUGGACUGGUUUGCACUCUCUGCUGUCAAAAGGACUCUCAAGAGUCUUCCCCAGCACCACAAUUCAAGCAUCAAGUUUUCACAGGAGCACCUCAAAGUAUAAGCCAAAUAUUGAUAGACAUAAAAGGAGAAAUCAACAGAAACACAGUCAUAGGAGGGGAUUUCAACUUUCCACUUACAUCAGUAAAUAGAUCGCCCAGGCAGAAAUGAAGAAGGAAGCACAGCCUGAAAAUAACACAUUGGACCUUCGAGUGUGUAGUUGGUAUAUAUCGAGCAUCCAUGCGAAAGCAGCAGGAGACACAAUGUCUUCAGUGGCGCGUAGGUUGUUCUACAGGAGGUUCACAGGCUGGGUCAUAAAGCUAGCCUCAGUAAAGUUAGGAAAAUUGGAAUGAUCUCAGAAGUCUUUUCAAAUUGCAAUGCUAUGAGACGAGAAUCAACUACAAGGAAAAACCUAAAAAAAAAAAAAAAACAUGGAGACUAAACAACAUGCUACUGAGAAACCAGUGGUUUGCUGAAGAAAUAAAGGAGGAAACGAAAAAUCCAGGAGACGAAUGAAGAUGAAAGCAAGCUGAUUGAAAACCUAUGGGAUGCUGCAAAAGCAGCUCUAAGAGGGAGGUUUAUGCAGAUACAGGCCACAGAACUAGACAAAAACUCAGCUAAACAACCUAAUAUUACACCUAUGGGAUGCCGCAGAAGCAGCUCUAAGAGGGAGGUUUAUGCAGAUACAAGCCACAGAACAAGAGGAAAAAAAAAACACAGCUAAACAACCUAAUAUUGCACCUAAAGCAACUUGAGAAAGAAGGACAGCAACACCCAAAAUUAAAAAGAAAGAAGUCAUAAAGAUCACAGCAGAAAUCAAUAAAAUGGAGAGAAAAAUAAGUGAUAGAGGAGGUCAAUGAAAUUAAAAGCUAGUUCCUUGAAAAGAUAAACAGGGUUGAUUAACCUUUAGCCAGACUCAUUACGAAAAAAAGGGAGAGAUCUCAAUCAAUAAAAUCCAAAAAGAAAAAUGAGAAAGUACAACCAACACCCCAGAAAUACAAAAAAAUCUUAAGAGACCACUUGGGUCUAUAAAAUGGAAAAUGUGGAAGAAAUGGACAAAUCCUUAGAAAGGUACAACUUUCCAAGACUGAACCAGGAAGAAAUAGAAAAUAUGAACAGACCAAAUCCCCCAAUGUCCAAAGAAAAGACAAAAUAAAACUCAGGAAUGGUAAGAUAGGACAAGCAGAAAAUAAAUCCCAAGUUGCUGUUUGCAAGGAUGAAAAUAAAAUAUUCAAGUGACAAAUAUGAAGAGGAAAGCCUCUAGUCUGUCCUUCCAAUUAUUGUGUCCGCCUGAACAAUAACAUUUAAUGAUGGUCGACUAUGUAAAGAAAACCCAGGUUUAAAGGAGAAGGUAAUAUAGAAAAAGACCUCCUUCACUUUGCAGAUUUCUUAUCUUCACUAGGAAAUACCAUCUCCAUGCAGCAGGGACUAAUACUUAAUGAGACCAGUAACUGAAUUACGGGCUAACGUAUGCCAGGUAUUACCCACAACUAAUGGAGAUAAAGUUUGUGGAAACUCUUGAAAUGAUCCACAAGAGCGGAGUAUUCUUUCAGAAAACUGCCAUGGCCAAGGGUGAAUGGCUUCCUCAAUAAUAACCUGUGUCUUUUCUGGGCAGAUAAUUUCAUGGAUUGACUUUCAGAUCCCCCACGUUAGCACCUGCAGUAAAUCAACCUCCUUUGUUCCUUGGAUUUUACAUACAAAUGUCAACAGGCAUCUACAGCUUGUUACAAAGUAAAUAAGUCGUGGGAAUGGGUUGUCCAGCAUGGUGACUGUGGUUCAUCGCACUGCGUUGGGUUGUUGGAAAAUGCUGAGGCAUUCACACGUUAAGCUCUCACCAGGAGAAAGCAUCUGUGCCAUGUGUGGGGAGGGGUGCAGAUGGAAAGGAGAAUUGUGGUGAUCAAUUUGCAGCAUGUGGCAGUAUCCAUACGGCGUGAUGUUACUUAUUAAUUAUGACUAAUGUAACGCUCCUUAUUCAUUAUGACUCAGCUAAAACCCGUGGUGCUGAUUAGUUACAGGAUAGUUUCUGCUAUAAUUCAAGCUGUCUGCUAAAUACAAUAAAUUUAAGGGGAGAACUUCUGGCCAUACCUGCUAACAACUCAAGAGCAGAUCCUAGCAGUUCUAGGAUCCCUGAGGAGCAGCAGGAAGGGAGAAAUGGUGGGAAAACAGGAAACCAAGAUAUCAGAGGUCUGUAUCAACCAUUGUCGGAAAUCAAAAAAGGCAGUGAUAUAGAAAACAAGAAUAGAAGUCACCACGUAGAAGACGACGAAGGUGACCACCAGCAUCAGGAUGGUGCGGGCGGCUGUGGUCUCCGGGGGGCAUCCGUGGUGCCCAGUGGGGGUGUGGAUAUACGGCACCCUCUGGUGGUGUCUGUGCAGGAGAAGCACCGAGGAGCCGCUGGACCAGACCACGAGGCCAAUAAACACGGCGUCCGAGGUGGACCACAGGACGACAGUCCCUGCGCUGGGACUUGAGAGCAGAACCAGUCGCCCUGCACACGAGUAUAAUUGUGUCUGUUCGGUGAAGCAGUGAUUUUGACAGGAACAUAGAUGUACAUGAAAACACUGAACAGCCAACAGGUGCAGCAGGAAGAAGCUGAGACCCUGGGGGCUCCUCCCCUGAGCCAUGACCUCCCUUCUCUCCCGGGGUUGAGCGUGAAGGGCUGAUAGGUGCUCAGGACGCAGGUGCAGCACAGGGUGGUGCUGCGAGCCACUUUCUGUAAACAGUACACGAAUUUACACCCAAGAGGAGACAGGGGCUUCCUUGAAAUGAAAGCUGCCAUUGUGUGGGGGAUCCCCGAGGAGAGAAGAACCAAAAGGUUGGCCACAGCUGUGUGGGUGAGAAUCGUGUCUGUGGGUCUCUUCUUGUGUCCAGACAAGAGAGGACAGAUGUGGUAGAAAAAAAGAAUGGCAUUGGCCAGAGACCCAACUCCCAUCUGUAAGAGAUACAUGGUUUUCAGGGCUGCCUGGCUUGCGGUCACACGGGCAUCUUUCUCCAAAGACGUGGAGUGGCUGUCAGAGUGACCUGCAGCGGAGGAGAGGCUGGGCAGUGAUGACAUCAGCAGUCUUCUCACGGAACCAACUGGGAAAGGGAGUCUCACCCUUCAACUCUCUUGAGAAAAAAAGACGCUGUCAUACUCCAGAGAGAUGGUUUCACCUGCAGAACAUACAGUUGGCAUUAGGUAUACCUUUCACCAUCACAAACUUUUAUCUACUCCUAUUGACUUGUGCAUUCCUGUUCUCCACACUUGUGAGCAAGGUCCAUGAACAUAGGGACCGUGUCUGUCUCGUUCAACAACAUUGUUGACCCAUAGUAAUUUUUAAAAUAUAUAACAAGUAUAUGAAUAAAUGACAGGAGACAAAGACAAACUCUACCCCUUUAGAAUUCACGGUCAUCUUGCUUAUUACAAGAAGGUAUCGGGUGAUGUCACCAACAUGGCAACACAGGAGGCUCCUUCCUCCCACGGACACAGCAGAAACACUUACACGUGGAUCAGCUCCUUCAAGAGAAAUGCAGAAUGGCUUGUACACUGAGUGACUUGUACACAUCGGAUGACUUAGAAAUCACCCCACUUCAGAAUGGGUGGGGAAUGCUGGGACACCUGCUCACCAUGAACCCCACCCCCAGCACAGGGCCUCCCAACCACAAUGAAACCCUCAAUGCCUUGCUUCUCUGUCAAGGAUCUGAAUCUCAUACCAGCAUGCUAAGUUUUUAAAUUUAGUUUAAUUGGAGGUUAAUUCCCUUACAAUAUUGUGGCGGUUUCUUGUAUGCAUUGACAUGAAUCAGCCAUGGGUGUACAUGUGUCUCCCAUCCUGAACCCCCCUACCUACAGGGCUGUCCCAGUGCACUGGCUUGCCCUGUUUCAUGCAUCAAACUUGGACUGCUGAUCUAUUUCACAUACGGUAAUAUACAUGUUUCAAUGCUAUUCUUUCAAAUCAUCCCACCCUCUCCCUCUCCCACAGAGUCCAAAAGUCUGUUCUUUACUUCUGUGUCUCCUUUGCUGUCUCUCAUAUAGGGUCGUCAUUGCCAUCUUUCUAAAUUCCAUAUAUGUGCGUUAAUAUACUGUGUUGGUGUUUUUCUUUCUGACUUACUUCACUCUCUAUAACAGGCUCCAGUUUCAUCCACUUCAUUAGAACUGAUUCAAAUGCAUUAUUUUUAAUAGCUGAGUAAUAUUCCAUUCUGUGUAUGUACCACAGCUUUCUUAUCCAUUCAUCUGCUGAUGGACAUCUAGGUUGCUUCCGUGUCCUGGCUAUUGUAAACAGUGCUGCAAUGAACAUUGGGGUACACAUGUCUCUUUCAGUUCUGGCUUCCUCGGUGUGUAUGCCCAGUAGGGGGAUUCCUGGGUCAUAAGGCAGUUCUAUUUCCUGUUUUUUUAAGGAAUCUCUACACUGUUCUCCAGAGUGGCUAUACUAGUUUGCAUUCCCACCAAGAGUGUAAGAGGGUUCCCUUUUCUCCACACCCUCUCCAGCAUUUAUUGCUUGUAGACUUUUUGAUAGCAGCCAUUGACCGGCAUGAGAUGGUACCUCAUUGUGGUUUUGAUUUGCAUUUCUCUGAUAAUGAGGGAUGUUGAGCAUUUUAACUUUAAAGGCUGGCCUCAGAGGAAGAGGCCCUCAGAUCACUUAGCUCUGGUAGCCAAUGCGGAUGGGCAUUGCUGAGCCCCGCAGGACUGAGAAAAUAACAGAGCGGUGGUGAAAUGGACCUACUGGCGCUCCCCAUGGCCUCAUCCCAGGCCCAGUGCAGUGGGAGUAGGCUUGCACACCCACCACCUCAUCUGAGCUGGGCGGCACACACCAUCCACUGCUGCCUGAGGCUCUGGCGUCUAACCCUGCACCCAGCGGCUGACUGGGGUGCUCUUGGGGGCCUGAAGGAGGACGUGGACACUGUUUCCACAUUCUCCCUCUGGCUUGAUCCAAACAUAAAAUCAAGCCUCCAGCAUCUACCUGGAAGGGGCCUAUCCACACGUCUUAGGCCCUAGCCUUUGUGGCUGACCCCCAAAGGGUGGACCCUCCAAUCACCUCGCCCCAACAAUCAAGGGUACUCAGCCUACUUGAGUCCCACAGGACUAUGUGAUGCAAAAAAAAAAUCAGUUUUCACUGGUCACACAUAGACCUAAAGAGAAGGGAUAGAAAAGACAGUCCAGGGAAAUGGAAAAGAACGUAGGAGUUGCUGUCGUCAUCUCAGACAAAACAGACUGUAAGCCAAAGCACGUGACAAGCGACAAAGGAGGCCAUUCCAUAACGACAGACGUAGUGAGUCAUCGAGGAAAUAGAGCACUGUAAAUGUCUGUAAGCCCAAACUGGGAGCACUUCAAUAUAUGAAGCACCUGUUAACAGAAAAUCAAGGGGGAAAUAGACAAUCCUACGAUAAUAAUACGGGCAUCAAUUCCAUACUCUCAGCAAUAGAACAAUCAUAUAGAAAAUCUAUAAUCAUUGGAUUUAAACUACAUAUGAGAUCAGAUGUACUUAACCAGCCAACAGCAGCAGAAAAUAGUCUUCUCAAGUGUCUGUGGACCAUUCUCCGUGUGAGUCGUACCAUAAUUAAGAAGACUGAAGUCAUUUCAGGCACCUUGUUUAACCACACUGAUAUGAAACUUCAAGACAAUUGUUAGAGGAAAAUAGGAUAAAUCACUAAUAUGUGGAGAUUAAACUUCAUGGAUGAGAUGAAAAAAAAGAAAAAGUUUUCAGAGAAAUCAAAGUGGAAAUACAAGAUAACAAAACUUAUGGAGAGCAGUUUAAGAACUGAACUGAGAGCGAUGGAUGUCUAUAUGAACAAGGAAGAAUGGUCUAAAAUAAACAGAAUAGCUUUAUGCCUCAAGGAACUAUAAGAGAACAACGAAUCCAGCUCAAAGGAAAGAAAUUGUGAGGUUCACAGCAGAAAUACUGCCAUUGAGAGGCGUUGUGAAUUUGGUUCCAGACCACAGCAAUGAAGUCAGUGUCACGAAAAAGCGGAUCGUGCACGUUUUCAGCUUCCCGGUGCACAUAAAGAUUAUAUUUGAGAUUGCAGUCAUCAUCCUGGUGCAUAGACAAGCCUCCUACAUAAGUUCUCAUCCAACCUCAGAUCACCUAAAGAGAAAGCAAACAUUACCAGACCGAAAGUGAGAAACACAGUCACAGUGGGGACUGCAAUACCCCCACUUUCAUCAGACAGAAAAUCAACAUGGAAACGCUGGACUGAGCUACACAUUAGAACAGUUGAGCCUUAUAGACAUAACCUGACCCAUCUUCCCAUCAGCAGCAAAAUACACAUUCUUCUCAAGAGCUUGCAGAACACUCACCAGAUCAGAGCACAUGUUCGGACCCAACAGGUCUUUUUUUAAAGCCUUUAUUGAAUCUGUCAUAAUUUUGCUUCUUCCUUUUUUUUUACGUUUUGUUUUUUUUGGCCGAGAGGCCUGUGGGAUCAUAACUCCUCGACCAGGGGUCAAACCCACAUCCCCUGCAUUGGAAGGUGA
ensembl:lncRNA